UAGUGUAGAGAGUCUGCUGUUGUGUGGUC
rnacentral:piRNA from 1 species